GUCUUGACAUCCUUUGACCACUCUAGAGAUAGAGCUUCCCCUUCGGGGGCAAAGUGACAGGUGGUGCAUGGUUGUCGUCAGCUCGUGUCGUGAGAUGUUGGGUUAAGUCCCGCAACGAGCGCAACCCUUAUUGUUAGUUGCCAUCAUUCAGUUGGGCACUCUAGCAAGACUGCCGGUGACAAACCGGAGGAAGGUGGGGAUGACGUCAAAUCAUCAUGCCCCUUAUGACCUGGGCUACACACGUGCUACAAUGGGAAGUACAACGAGUCGCGAAGUCGCGAGGCUAAGCUAAUCUCUUAAAGCUUCUCUCAGUUCGGAUUGUAGGCUGCAACUCGCCUACAUGAAGCCGGAAUCGCUAGUAAUCGCGGAUCAGCACGCCGCGGUGAAUACGUUCCCGGGCCUUGUACACACCGCCCGUCACACCACGAGAGUUUGUAACACCCGAAGUCGGUGAGGUAACCUUUUGGAGCCAGCCGCCUAAGGUGGGAUAGAUGAUUGGGGUGAAGUCGUAACAAGGUAGCCGUAUCGGAAGGUGCGGCUGGAUCACCUCCUUUCUAAGGAA
rnacentral:rRNA from 1 species